UACAGAGGGUGCAAGCGUUAAUCGGAAUUACUGGGCGUAAAGCGUGCGUAGACGGUUAUGUAAGUCAGGUGUGAAAGCCCCGGGCUCAACCUGGGAAUGCCAUUUGAGACUGCAUAGCUAGGGUACGGAAGAGGGAAGCGGAAUUUCAGGUGUAGCGGUGAAAUGCGUAGAUAUCUGAAGGAACACCAGUGGCGAAAGCGGCUUCCUGGUCCAGUACCGACGUUCAGGCACGAAGCGUGGGAGCAAACAGGA
rnacentral:rRNA from 1 species